UACCAGCACCCCGAGUGGUCGGGACGAUUAUUGGGCCUAAAGCAUCCGUAGCCGGCCUUACAAGUCCCCCGUUAAAUCCAACUGCUUAACAGAUGGGCUGCGGAGGAUACUAUAAGACUAGGAGGCAGGAGAGGCAAGCGGUACUCAGUGGGUAGGGGUAAAAUCCAUUGAUCCAUUGAAGACCACCAGUGGCGAAGGCGGCUUGCCAGAAUGCGCUCGACGGUGAGGGAUGAAAGCUGGGGGAGCAAACAGG
rnacentral:rRNA from 1 species